UACGUAGGGGGCAAGCGUUGUCCGGAUUUAUUGGGCGUAAAGAGCGUGUAGGCGGCUUUGCAAGUCCGUUGUGAAAACUCGAGCUCAACCUCGAGACGCCGGUGGAAACUGCAAAGCUAGAGUCCGGAAGAGGAGAGUGGAAUUCCGUGGUGUGAGCGGUGAAAUGCGCAGAUAUCAGGAAGAACACCCGUGGCGAAGGCGGACUCUCUGGGACGGUACUGACGCUGAGACGCGAAAGCGUGGGGAGCG
rnacentral:rRNA from 1 species